rnacentral:rRNA from 1 species
UUAUGGCUCAGGAUUGAACGCUGGCGGGAUGCUUACACAUGCAAGUCGAACGGCAGCACGGAUUUCUGGCCCGGUGGCGAGUGGCGAACGGGUGAGUAAUGUAUCGGAACGCCUAGUAUGUGGGGAUAACUACGCCAGUGCAGUAGCUAAUACCGCAUACGCCCUUCGGGGGAAAGCGGGGGACCUUCGGGCCUCGCACUAUUAGAGCGGCCGAUAUCGGAUUAGCUAGUUGGUGGGGUAACGGCUCACCAAGGCGACGAUCCAGCUGGCUUCCAGAGUACGACCGGCCACGUUGGGACUGAGACACGGCCCAGACUCCGACAAAAAGGAGGCAGCAGUGGGGAAUUUUGGACAAUGGGGAAACCCCUGAUCCAGCCAUCCUGGCGUGUGCGAUGAAGGCCUUUGGGUUGUAGCAAUUUUGGCAGGAAAGAAACGGCACGGGAUAAUACCCCGUGCAACUGACGGCAUCGCAGAAUAAGCACCGGCUAACUACGUGCCAGCAGCCGCGGUAAUACGUAGGGUGCAAGCGUUAAUCGGAAUUACUGGGCGCAAAAGCGUGCGCAGGGCGGUUCGGAAAGAAAGAUGUGAAAUCCUGUAUUUAACUUUGGAACUGCAUUUUUAACUACCGAGCUAGAGUGUGUCAGGGAGGGAGGUGGAAUUCCGCGUAGCAGUGAAAUGCGUAGAUAUGCGGAGGAACACCGAUGGCGAAGGCAGCCUCCUGGGAUACCGACGCUGCUCAUGCACGAAAGCGUGGGGAGCAAACAGGAUUAGAUACCUUCCUGGUAGUCCACGCCCUAAACGAUGUCAACCAGCUGUUGGGGCCUUCGGGCCUGGUAGCGCAGCUAACGCGUGAAGUUGACCGCCUGGGGAGCACAGGUCGUGGAUUAAAACUCAAAGGAAUUAUCGGGACCGCACAAGCGGUGAUGAGCGGACAUCUGAUGCAACGCGAAAAACCUUACUCUACCCUUGACAUGUCUGAAUCCCGAAGAGAUUUGGGAGUGCCUGCAAGAGAACUGGAACAGGUGUCAGCGGCUGCCGUCAGCUCGUGUCGAGAUGUUGUUAAGUCCCGCAACGAGCAACCCUUUGUCAUUAGUUGCUACGAAAGGGCACUCUAAUGAGACUGCCGGUGACAAACCGGAGGAAGGUGGGACAGGAUGUCGGCGUCCUUCAUGGCCCUGUAGGGCUUGGUCAUUGGCACAGUUAUCGGGACAGAGGGUCGCCAACCCGCGAGGGGGAGCCAAUCCCAUGCAGAAACCCGAUCAGAGUCCGACUGCAGUCUGCAACUCGACUGCGUGAAGUCGGAAUCGCUAGUAAUCGCGGAUCAGCAUGUCGGGGUAAUACGUUCCGGUCUUGUACACACCGCCCGUCACACCAUGGGAGUGGGUUUUACCAGAAGUAGUUGGGGCCUUAACCGUAAGGAGGGCGAUUACCACGGUAGGAUUCAUGACUGUGAAGUCGUAACAAGGUAG